rnacentral:rRNA from 1 species
AUUGAACGCUGGCGGCAGGCCUAACACAUGCAAGUCGAACGAGUGGCGGACGGGUGAGUAAUGUCUGGGAAACUGCCUGAUGGAGGGGGAUAACUACUGGAAACGGUAGCUAAUACCGCAUACAAUCAGAUGUGCCCAGAUGGGAUUAGCUUGUUGGUGGGGUAACGGCUCACCAAGGCGACGAUCCCUAGCUGGUCUGAGAGGAUGACCAGGCAAACUGGAACUGGAACAAGGUCCAGAAACCUAAGGUGAGCCGGAGUGGGGAAUAUUGGAACAUGGGGCGAAGCCUGGUGCAGCCAUGCCGGGUGUAUGAAGAAAGCCUUCGGGUUGUAAAGGACUUUCAGCGGGGAGGAGGUACCCGCAGGAGAAGCACCGGCUAACCCCGGGCCAGCCGGCGCGGUAAAAC